GGCUGCUUCAAGCCUGGCAUAUCACACCCCAGAAAAUAUGCAAGGUGGUCAGCGGCCAUGCAGCGAUCUACCACCACCUUGGUGAGCCAUUGCAGCGGACAUUGGACCGCGACACUCCAUGUCCGCCAGCCCGGCCGUAUAGCUCAGUUCGGCCGAUGCAGCCCCGCUUCAGGACACGCAGCCGAGCGGUGAGGCCGGACAUUUUGGCCGCCGACUCCGAGCGGUGUGCAGCUCCAGGGCCGACAGUGGCCCCUCCCCCGCGCCACAGCCAGCCUAUGGACGACUUCCGAACACCCCUGGCAAGGCACGCAAUUACCGGCGCUUUUUGCGACACAGCGCCGCUAUUGUCCACAAAUCAGCGCGCCGCAUCGCCGCUGCCAAAUUGACGAGCCAGAAAAGUCGGGAGGAGCGCGCGGCAGCGCCGUCAUUAUUGAUAAUUAUGUGAAGCGUUGCCAUGGCGACGAAUUUUGCAUUGAUUUUUCUGUCGAGCUGGAUGGGUUCGGUGACCGGGCGGACGAUGGUGGAGGGUUGCAGACCUGAGGAAGAUGGGGGAGGGGAGAAGGAGAGACAGGGUGUCGGAGACUCGGAGGAAGGGCUGACGUCCAAUUUCCUGUCGCCGGUGAUAGAAGUUUCCCGGGUGGUUGGCGCACAUAGGCAGCGUUGGUAUCGAGCUGAUGGAGCCAGAGACAGCGAAAAAAUUAGCUGCGCAUGAUUGUAAGACGACUAUUGGGUUGUAGCAGCACAACGUUGUUUCCAAUGUUGUUGAAUGAAGUGGUCAUAAAAAAACAAUGGGAAA